GCCAGCAUGGUGUAGUGGUUUGAGUGCUAAACUAUGACUUUAGAUAUCAGGGUUCAAAUCUCAGCUCAGCCA